UGCAAUAGUGGGCCUGCUGGUUGUC
rnacentral:piRNA from 1 species